UGCUGGAAUUUAUUUUCAAAAAAUUUAAUCCUAUGCAAUUCGCAGGCAAUUUCAUACGACAAAUAUUAUUUCAAGGCUGCAGAAAAUAUUGAACAGAUUCCCAGCUUCGAAGGAGAAAUAUAUCUCGAGCCGCUUGAUCGAUCGCCUAUGCGAUCUUCUAUGCGGAUGUAUGUGACACCAGCUGGUUUAUCUAACGCUCGCGAUAUGCGACUCGAAGCUCUUGGUGCGUGACCACACGGUACCAGCCCAUAUUUAUUUACAGUACACUCGGAAGUCGAGCCUUCCCUACACAUGCAGACGACCGUGCGGAAACGCACCGUGUCCCCUUCGACAGUAAGCUGUGAUUUCCAUGCAUAAUGCAGGAUCAAAGUCGAGACGGGAGAAUAAUAGCAGAGCUGACGACGCGAUCGGCACGCGUCGCCGUUCCGAUUUCCAUUCAAAUGCAUUUCGUUCGCAUCUCGAUUCAACGAGGCAUUAAAACGCCCGGGUUCGGGGGUCCAGCCAGCCGCACGGUCUAUUGAACAUUAAAUUUAAGCAGCGGCUUCCUGCGUCGCAGAUCCGUCGUAUGUAUAAAGCGUGCGCGGAGGACGUUACAUUAUAUCGUUACACAAAAGCAGAGAUUCUAGAGAGAAAUAAUCUGCAUGCGAGGUCUGUACAUGUGUACGAUGCCGUGCCUGUGUAUCGAUACUGUUGAUCGCGAUCAAUCUCUUCGCGAGACUGCCAAGUGAAAUGAAAAUGGAAAGCAACAAGUAAAUUUGCGGCGCUAUGAUUAGAAACUAAACUAAGAAAACUGACGAUCGCUUUGCCAUCGAAAGUAACCUUCACAUAUAUGAGAGAUUAACGUCCGUUUCUAUCAAUGUAGAUUAACAUUAAUCUCAGUUUAACCUACUUUUUAUCUCCUUCUAGCUCCAAGAGUUGGAAAAAGGUACAAAGUAAAUAAAAUCGAGAUUAAAGUUAAUAUAUCAUUGAUAGAAAUGGACCUAAGGAGUUUCUAACGAGAAAUUAGGAAUGCAAGCUGGAGAAAGAAUAAAUAGCGAAGCUGUCGAUAGAGAAGUAGCUAAAUAAUUAACAAGAAUAACUAAUUAUUUUAAAUCAAAGUUUCGUAUUUUUGAGAUAUAAAGAUUAAUUCCCGUAUUUCAUCUCUCUGUCAUAUUCACGCGGUGAAUAUGCCUCUCGGUUACUGCAUAAAUUAUAAAAUUACACUGAAAUCGAUAUACACCCUAUGUGAUGUGUAUUUCGCGCACGUAAAGUAUUAAUGGCUUCCGCACAAUGAAGCAUCGGGCUGCAUUCCUAAUCGUCAUCCAUCGUCUCGGGAUUUUUGCGAUCGUGAACGCAAGAAGCAACUGGGGACCGACUGUAGCCCAUCAUGCUGAGUACAGAAAACAGUGUAGAAAAUUGAUUCAUUAACCCAUGAUGUGUAAUGAGAGUCCAGCGUGCGAACGAGCGAGUGAACGAACGAACGAACGAACGAGUGGGCGAGCGUGCGAAAACACGUAUAUGCGAGUGAAAAGCAAAACGAGAGAAUGAACAUACGAGACCAAUGAAACAGUAGACAUUUUGAAGAAAUAAGUGUUUAGAAUAAAAUAGCUCAAGUUCCUAAAAUAGCGUGAAGUCUAAUUGAUGCUGCAUAAAUCAACAUAAACUAAAAGAGAAAAUCAGUAAUAAUUUAUAUUUAUCAUUCUUGUUUUUUUUUCAACGAGAUUUUCCAUAAUGCAUUGAAUUAAAUUUAAGUCUAAAAUUAACGUGAAAUUAAGUACAAUUUAAAUCCGGAGUCACUUUUAUUAAUCACGUAACCUAUUAGUUAUUUUAUAAUCUUGUUUUUUUUUUUAACGAAAUUUUCCAUAACACAUAAAUGUCAACAUUAAAUUAAAUCCGACGUAAAUCUAAAGUAUAUGUGAAAUUAAAUGAAAAAUCCAGAAUGAAAAUCCAGAAUCACUUUUUCAUCAAUCACAUAAUCUGUUAUCUUGUUAUACUCUCGUGUCGAAUAAAGCUGCCAAGCUCUCAGAUUAGCCGUUUUGCAACAACGCCAUUUUCUCGAACAACUGUCACGAUACACGGGUAUCUGGGCACGAUGCAUCUCUGGUGUACACCGGGAGUUAGUGCGAUUUCGUGUCGAGGCAUUCACGGCGCGCAGACGGUACCAAUGUAGUCGCGUGUGGGUGGAAGGAAAGAAAACGACGUAGUCGUUCUUUAGUUCCCGACGACGGCACGAAAGACCGCCACUUUCCGCAGAGGAGAACUCCGGGCUGCUUGUUACCGACCAGCCGAGGCCCGGGGCUCGAAUACGAGGUUCUACAGCUAGGUUGCUAACGGCACCAGCACUUGGAACAGCUGGGCUACACUGCUCGGCGAGGUUGGGCUAGGUAACGUGGCCCCGGAACAUUGCAUAUGUAUGUGCCACACUGAUAUACGCACGCCUGCGUAGACACCGUUGCUACAAAGGGACACCAAUAAGGAAGAGCAGGAGGAGGAAGGCAAAUUGAGUCUUCCAUGGAUCGAGAUAUAGCGUGUGUAUGUGCGAAGAGAACUGUAGCAACGCUGUGGCAACAAGGGAAAGUGGAAUUUGGGCUACACGCGGGAGUGCGCGCGAGCGAGCCGUGCGAGCGAGCGAAUGGAUUUCGUGGGGAUGCAAGACACUGGAGCACUCGACGGACGGGGACGGCAAAUGACGUAAGAUAAGAUAAGGCAAGGUGAGGUUUGGUGAGCUGAGAGAGGCUCCUUAUGGACGUCCUUAUAAGGCUGCGGCGCCCACGUGCGUGCGGUUCUCGACGACUCGCGGUGCGCUUUCGGGCAAGGACUAUACAAGUCUCUCUGCACCUUUUUUUUUUUUAAUCAUCAGCUACGCGGUAGGGAGACACGAGGGGGGAAGGAUCUUGUAUCUUAAACAGCGUGACGCACGCAUUCUUGCGUAUCGGAUUUUCCACUAGGCACUGGGAAAGCGUCAGAUUGUGUGUCCGAUUUUGCGAAAACUUUCUUGUGAAUAUAUAUACUAUUAAUUAAAUGAAGAUUAUAGAAAUAUUUUAUAUCUCUAAUAUAAGUCACGUACGUAAAAUAAAUAAAAUCUUUAAUCAAAAUACUCAACAAGAUAAACCAUAGCUUCUACACAAAUUUAAUUUCGGCGAACGAAAUUUCAUCAAGUUCAUUGUAUAAAUACAUGCAAACAGAAAUGAUUAUUAAAAAUUCUGAAAAAAAGACGUUGAAAUUAGAAAAUUUUUAAUUUCAUAUCAAUUGUAAUAUAUAAGUAUAAAAAAUGUUUUAAAUUUAAUAAAACUCGCUUUGCUUUGUACGUACACAUGUAAUUAAAAGCAAACACACGUUCCGUUUCAAUAACUUGUCAGAACGUAGAGAUCUAGAUAUAAGAUUAAAUGCGGUGACCGGGAUACAUCGACGAAAUUAGUCAUCGAUCCUUUUACUCCGAUAUCUCCUGUCGCGUCUGUCGAGGAUAUCGUGGAGAUUUUUUGUGCGGGCGUUCUCUGCACAGCGGGAUUAUAUACGCAGAAUGCGUGUCAGCCACUUGUUGCACCGCAUCGCGUCGAAAGUGUAGGAGUUAUCACUAAUUGUGUUACUUCUAUGUGUUGCAAAGUGCACGUUUCGGAUCAUUUUCAAAGGAUUUCGAAUUGCGAUAAUCAAUAGUUUUACUUAAAAAAUAUUAUAUCCAAAAAGGUUGUCUAAAAUUUCAAAUAUAUUCCAAAAUUUUCACGAAUCAUGAUUAAGAUUCAGAAAAUUUCUAAAAUAUCUUAAAAUCUGAAAAAAUCUAAACUCUCGAAAAGUGACGAACUAUUAGAAUAUAAUUAAGGAGAUUGUAUUCCAAGAAAGAAUUUUCUACAUUUCCAAGAAUUGCGGUUUCAAGAAUUCGGUAUUUUAAAAAUUCAAAUUGCAAAACAUUUCGAAAAUCGACAAAUUAAUUAUACUGUAUAUAUCAAUAUUACAAUCGCUAAUGUACAUAAUUAUGACAGCACAUAUGCUUCAACAUCAACGUUUUAUUAUAAACGAAGAAUAACUUUCCUUUUUAGAAAGUCUUGAAGACGACGUCUUUUACACGCGUGGACACUCAUCUGAGAAUUUCUAAAACACGCUAAAUUUAUCCAUUUAAUUUUAGAAUAAAAUAUAAAUAAUAAGAUAACAUGACUGAUACAGAUAAUAUUAAUAUCUGAAAUAUCGAUAUGCGUGAGAGAAUAUUUUCCC